AAACAAAAGUGGUGCAAGAAAUCCUUUUCUCUUUCACUUUAGCACACAGAGCACCUCACCACAGAUGGAUUUGCCUGGGAAGACUCAGCUAUGAAAAGUGUUUUAGAGCCCCUGAGUGGACCCAGCCCCACAGCUCUACUCUGAAGAAAGGUGACGGUUGUCCUUCCCUGACUACCCAAACAAACAGGCUCUAUGUGGUAUUGAAUACAUGAUAUUUGGAUUUGAGUAGGUAUGUUUAAAAUGUCCUCUGAAUGAAGCAAAACAAUGCAAGGAGGGACAAGAAAUCUCUAACAGAAUAGGUGAGUGGUUACAAUCAUGACUGAUUUCUGGAGUGUAUCUGAUACCUAAACAGUUUUUACUCAAUUUUAUUCUGGAACUCAUCAGCUGAUAGUACAAAACCUCAUACCAACCUCCUCCAGCACACUGCCAGUUAAACAACACCUGCUAGGGAAAAGAAAGAAACAUUUAAAAAGGAAAAUGAGAUAAUGAAAACUAAGUACCAUUUUGAACCACAUCAAUCUUGCUACAGUAAACAAGGCUGGAUGACUCGAGGACCAUGCUGAUAAGGACAUCCUAGUUAGCAACAGUAGCUUUUCUGUCUCCUUUCCAGAGAUUAUUUCUUUCUAUCUCAGGAAUCAAAUCAACUGGGUUCUUCUUGUGGAUUGUAAACUACGCCAAAGCCAAUCAGUGCAAACCCACUGCCUUCACUGAGUUUCUUCUGCUUUCUGGCAGCUUAAGUUCUGGCUUUUACUGAUUCUACAGACAAAUCCAAGUUGCUCAAUAUGUUUCAUGAGUCUGCAGCUACCUACACAUGAGUUUCAAAAGAAGAUCAGAGGUCUACACCAACAUAAAUGAUCUCACAUAUUUCAGGGCUAAGCCUGGAGCCAGCGCACACAGAUUAGGGUGAUAAAAACCUUUGUUUUUCCAGGACUUCAGGUCUCCCUGCAUAAUUUGAGCUGGAAAAACCAAUCUCAUGAGUGCCUCAAUGAAUCUCCUUUCUCUCAUCUCAUGAGUUUGGAGUAUCAAAACACCAAUGCAGCCAUGUUAGGGGACACAAGCUUUGUUUUCCUCUAGGCAUGCUGUCUCUGCAAGAGGCUGGCUGCCCAUACACCAGCAGCAGAAUGGCUGAGCUCUCUGAAGUUUCACAAGCAAAGCUUCCUUUCAUGUGCUGAGCCUCACUUGUGGCUGACCUUCCUCUCUCUGUAUUCAGGACCCAGCAUCGUUGCAGCUUGCAACAAGGCUCAUGGUGGGGGAUGUCAGAGGGCAGGAAGUGAUGUCUGGAAGUGCCCCUGGGUCAUCACUGCAGACGGGGAUAUGUGUGGGAGGGCACAAAAGAGCAAAGCAGGAAAGCAAUGCAAAAAACAGAGAUGGAAAAAUAAAAGUGAAAUUGCACAGCAAACAGCAGUAAAGAAGAAAAAGUGUUUGCAAUAGCGUCGGUGCAGGAAGUGACUGCGGAGGUCAAAGGUGGUCACAGGGAAAUGGCAAUGACAGGAAUAUGAAGCGUUUCAGGAAAUAUAAAUGCACUUUUCUUCCAGUCCUCAGAGAGCAAUAAUGAGAGCAAUGUCAGU
ensembl:lncRNA